CUACGGGAGGCAGCAGUGAGGAAUAUUGCACAAUGGGGGGAACCCUGAUGCAGCAACGCCGCGUGGAGGAUGACGCAUUUCGGUGUGUAAACUCCUUUUAUAUGUCAAGAAAAUGACGGUAGCAUAUGAAUAAGCGCCGGCUAACUCCGUGCCAGCAGCCGCGGUAAUACGGAGGGCGCAAGCGUUACUCGGAAUCACUGGGCGUAAAGGACGCGUAGGCGGGUUGAAAAGUUAGGUGUGAAAGCCUACAGCUUAACUGUAGAACUGCACUUGAAACUCUCAAUCUAGAGUAUGGGAGGGGCAGAUGGAAUUAGUGGUGUAGGGGUAAAAUCCGUAGAUAUCACUAGGAAUACCUAAAGCGAAGGCGAUCUCCUGGAACAUUACUGACGCUAAGGCGUGAAAGCGUGGGGAGCAAACAGGAUUAGAUACCCUCGUAGUC
rnacentral:rRNA from 1 species